rnacentral:rRNA from 1 species
GAUGAACGCUAGCUACAGGCUUAACACAUGCAAGUCGAGGGGCAGCGGGAUUGAAGCUUGCUUCAAUUGCCGGCGACCGGCGCACGGGUGAGUAACGCGUAUCCAACCUUCCGUACACUCAGGGAUAGCCUUUCGAAAGAAAGAUUAAUACCUGAUGGUAUGAUGAGAUUGCAUGAUAUCAUCAUUAAAGAUUUAUCGGUGUACGAUGGGGAUGCGUUCCAUUAGGUAGUAGGCGGGGUAACGGCCCACCUAACCAACGAUGGAUAGGGGUUCUGAGAGGAAGGUCCCCCACAUUGGAACUGAGACACGGUCCAAACUCCUACGGGAGGCAGCAGUGAGGAAUAUUGGUCAAUGGACGAGAGUCUGAACCAGCCAAGUAGCGUGAAGGAUGAAGGUCCUACGGAUUGUAAACUUCUUUUAUAAGGGAAUAAACCCUCCCACGUGUGGGAGCUUGUAUGUACCUUAUGAAUAAGCAUCGGCUAACUCCGUG